rnacentral:rRNA from 1 species
AGUACCCGUGAGGGAAAGUUGCAAAGAACUUUGAAGAGAGAGUUCAAGAGGACGUGAAACCGUUUAGAAGGAAACGGGUAGAGCUGCGAGUGGCUCGGCCGAUUCAGGCGGUCGGCUGUGCGCGUUCCUGUUGUUGAUCGCAAGACAGCAUCGGGUAUCGUGUACUGUCCGAACGUCGCAUUUUGGCCGAGUAGCACUGGCGGCUGUGCGUAUCCAGUUGUGGUUUGCAGUUGACGAUGCCGCUUCGGUGGUUGUCGAAUGUGAAUUUGCGACUUGUGAUUCGUACAGUUUUUUUUACGUGUGGACGCCUAUUGGUGCGAUAGCGGCCACGGUUGACUCCUGAACAACUGCCGUGCUUGCACGAAUGUUAGUCACUGUUGAUCGUUGGUUGUGAUUCGCCCUUUCACACGCGCUGGUGAACAAGUCAGCGACCUACCCGACCCGUCUUGAAACACGGACCAAGGAGUCUAACAUGUAUGCAAGUCGUAGGGUGAAUAAACCCGAAGGCGAAAUGAAAGUAAAGCUUAUGCGACACAGGAACCGGUCGUUCUGCGGUCGGUGCACUGUGGCCCCGUUCUCUCUGCAUGUCAGUGGAGCGGAGGUAGAGCAUACCUGUUAGGACCCGAAAGAUGGUGAACUAUGCCUGAGCAGGGCGAAGCCAGAGGAAACUCUGGUGGAGGCUCGAAACGGUUCUGACGUGCAAAUCGAUCGUCAGACUUGGGUAUAG